rnacentral:lncRNA from 10 species
CCUGGUUAGGACCUGGGAUGCCGGAAAUCUGAGACUCUGCCUUCCCCUCCUGAGACACUCUGAAACCCUGCUUAGAAAUCGAGCACAAUGGCUCUGGCCUCCCAGAGAAAGACACGGAUUUGCAAAGGCAAAGAGCUGCAUUUUUCUCCGAGCUGGAGCUCUUUCCGGUUUCCACUAUGGGGCUUAAACAAAACUGCAGCUUUACAGUUCCCCUGUUGGUGUUUUCUCCUUCUUGGUGACUAACAAGGUGGAAGAGCCAACAAGAACCCUGUGUGCUCCUUUGCAGGACCUGGAAGGGACAGGUGGUGCCCUGCCCCAGGAGUCCUCCUGCUCAGGAGCCUGGGAGUUGAGGAGGUCUGGAAGCAGUGGGCCCACAGUGCCAUCGCCUUGGGAACCCACAGUGCCUUGGAUGUGGCUCCCUCGGUCCUAGCUUUGCAGGCAGCCUACCUGGACUGCACCCACCUCCCAGAAGAGCUGCUCAGAAUCCUGCAUGUCCGAAAGAAAGACCAAUCAAAGAAGUGAGGAAGCCAAAGAGAGGCCUAUGAAAGCUUAUGACGCAUUUUCCAAGUGCACACCCCAGCAACUUCAAAUGCUUUCUGAAACUCUCCCCAGGAAAAAGCAGUGUGCAUGGACCGCUACCUGGUCACACCUUGAGAUAGCCACUUUCAUCCUCUCUGGAACACCGCCUGGGGGGAUGCAGCACAGGGCAUCCAAGCAACCCCUGAGCUCAGGGUAGAGACACCAGGAAGCAGCAGGCAGGCCGUGACCCCGCAGGCCUGCUCCAUGGCUCCUGCUGCCUGCACCAUGGCAUGAAGCUCAGAUGCAUCUCUGGACUUGGGGUUCUGACCAGAUGGAGCCACCAAUCCUCUGAAGAAUGAAACACACAGGGGUCACCCUUGCCUCCUAGCUGCAGGGAAUGACGACCACCCAGCCCUUCCUUUCCUCAAAUCUUCUCCAGGCUUCUGUGCAUGGCUCUGCUGACCUUCCUCCUGUCUCUGGCUAUUCUCUCAGCCUCUGCCGUCUCCUCCUCCGCCCUCACCCACGGAGUCAGUCCUGGUGCCUUGAGAGCCCCUCUCCCUAGCUGACUUCACCCAGCCCCUGAGCAUUCAAUGCCAACAAUGCCACCUUCUUUGUCCAGAUUCACACUUGAGUGCCAGCCUGACUCACAGACGUGUCCCUGGGCCCCGCUGUGCCAGGCCCUCUGCUGGGUCCUGGGUAUCUGCAGCCACUGUCACUGUCAAGCCCCAACAUCUGAAGGCAUCUUGAACCCAAUGACCGUGCCCCAGGCUGAACUCUGGAGCUCUCAUCUCACCUGCCUCCCACCCCAUCCCCCAUCUAAGUGAACAGCCUCUCCAGCCAACAGCUAUUGCAGCUAGAUCUCCAGGGGCCGGGCCUGGGCCCUCCAUUUCCAUUACUCCGAAUCCACUCAUCCAUCCCAAACUCUCAUCAAUGUUAACCCAACACAUCUCACAGCCACCACCAUUAGCUGCCCCUGUCCGAAUCCCUCCUCCUCAAAGCACCAGGGGGCGUGUGUAAAAUUUACUAAUCUGAUGAUUUCCCUCUAUGAAGCCGUGACUGGUUUCCAUUGCACCUGGGAUAUACCAGAUUCCUGUGGCUCCAGAAUCCUGCCUACCACCGACGUGCUGUGUGACCCUGAGCAAGUAACUUAACCACUCUGUGCCUCAAUGUUCUUACAUGUGAAAUGGGAUAAUAACAUCUGUCUCAUAAGAAUG